rnacentral:ncRNA from 2 species
CUCUUAUUACGAGAGGUGGAGGGAAGUGCCCUGCGAAGCCCGGCAACCGUCAAUCUAAGAUUGAAAUGGUGCCAAUUCACUCAAAGCUAUAUGCUUUGAAAGAUGAGAG